GAUGCGACGACGGAAUGCCGUGUAGGAAAUGGGUCUCUGCCGCCGAAUUGCCUUCUAGAAUCUGCUUCGGAAGUCGGUUUCUCCAAGUCAAUGCGGCGAUGUCUGCAUUAGCUGUUUUCUUAUCGCCGCGAGCUUCGAAAAGCGUGUGCUUUUAAUACAGUCGUUUUCAAUUUUCUGUACUAUAUAAACCGCUGCGAAGUGCAAAAGGCCGUCGAGCAUACAAUCGGAGCUGAAUUUCAGGUAAUUUGUAUUUUGUUGCAUCGGAUCGUUUGGAAAUUCGCUCCGUGAGAUACGUUCUUGUAGAGAGCUGUUUUUUUUGCGGUUGGAUUAAUCGAUUGUUGUAUUUGAAGUGUGUGUUGAUUGAAAGGAAAUGGGAGGAGCUACUGAGGCGGUUAACGAUGGUAGUAAUGUUCAUAUUGAUGGGAGAGUUCAAAGUACAAAUGGUUCUUUGGAAGAGAAGCUGGAUGAGCUUCGAAAAUUGUUUGGGAAAUCUGAUGGCGAUCCAUUGAGGAUUGUUGGUGUCGGGGCAGGGGCAUGGGGUAGUGUUUUUGCUGCAAUGUUGCAAGAUGCGUAUGGUGCUUUCCGUGAGAAGGUUCAAAUUAGGAUUUGGAGGAGAGCAGGGAGGUCUGUGGAUAGAGCUACGGCGGAGCAUUUAUUCGAGGUGAUCAAUUCGAGGGAGGACGUGCUUAGGAGAUUGAUCCGCAGGUGUGCAUAUUUGAAGUAUGUGGAGGGAAGAUUAGGGGAUAGGGUUUUGUUAGCUGAUGAAAUUUUGAAGGAUGGGUUUUGUCUGAAUAUGAUCGACACUCCCCUUUGUCCGUUAAAGGUUGUGACUAAUUUGCAGGAAGCUGUUUGGGAUGCUGAUAUUGUUAUCAAUGGGUUGCCAUCGACAGAAACUCGGGUUGUGUUUGAGGAAAUUAGUAGGUAUUGGAAGGAAAGGAUUACAGAGCCUGUCAUCAUAUCUUUAGCUAAAGGAAUCGAGGCUGAGUUAGAGCCUGAGCCCCGGAUAGUUACUCCAACUCAGAUGAUCAAUCGAGCAACUGGGAUUUCCAUGGAAAAUGUUCUCUAUCUUGGGGGGCCUAACAUUGCAUCGGAAAUUUACAACAGAGAAUAUGCUAAUGCUCGUAUUUGUGGAGCGGAUAAAUGGAGAAAGCCAUUGGCGAGGUUUCUGAGACAGCCGCAUUUUAUUGUUUGGGAUAAUGGUGACCUUGUGACUCAUGAAGUUAUGGGCGGUUUGAAAAAUGUAUACGCAAUUGGAGCUGGAAUGGUGGCAGCUAUAACUAAUGAGAGUGCAACAAGCAAGUCUGUGUACUUUGCUCACUGUACAUCAGAGAUGAUUUUUAUCACCCAUCUUUUGGCCGAGGAACCCGAGAGGCUUGCAGGUCCACUUUUGGCCGACACUUAUGUAACCUUGUUGAAAGGGCGAAAUGCAUGGUAUGGUCAGAAGUUGGCUAAAGGAGAAAUAAGCCUUGAUAUGGGUGACAGCAUCAAGGGCAAGGGAAUGAUUCAGGGUGUUUCCGCUGUAAAAGCUUUUUACGAGCUGCUUAGCCAGUCUUGUUUGAACAUUCCACAUCCAAACGAGAACAAAAACAUUGCCCCGGUCGAACUGUGCCCAAUCUUGCAGAAGCUGUACAAAAUUCUGAUAGUCAGGGAGCUGCCGUCCGAGGGGAUUCUUCAGGCCUUACGAGACGAAACAAUGUACGAUCCCCGCGACCGGAUUGAGAUUGCACAGAGCUCUGCCAUCUACAGGCCAUCUCUGCUGAUAAAAUAGUGCUGAUUGAUGAUGGUGUGGUUUGUGUUCAAUUCAGAGUUCUUUGACAGGGAAGGAAUCAGUCGGCGGUUUAGGGAGUGAAGUGAAGUUUAUUGACUAGGAGUAACGGAAUCAAGGGUUUGGCUCCUAUGUCGUUGGUAGAUUACGCGGCCUCUUCCGACGAGGGCGAGCCAAAUAUCCCAUCUGACGACGACGAAGAAGAAGAAAAGCAACAGAAGGAACAAGUAGAA